rnacentral:rRNA from 1 species
UACGGGGGGGGCAAGCGUUGUUCAGAAUUACUGGGCGUAAAGGGCUCGUAGGCGGCCAACUAAGUCAUACGUGAAAUCCCUCGGCUUAACCGGGGAACUGCGUCUGAUACUGGAUGGCUUGAGGUUGGGAGAGGGAUGCGGAAUUCCAGGUGUAGCGGUGAAAUGCGUAGAUAUCUGGAGGAACACCGGUGGCGAAGGCGGCAUCCUGGACCAAUUCUGACACUGAGGAGCGAAAGCCAGGGGAGCAAACGGG